AUUGGUCAUUUGGAAGUGUCCCUAGGUGCCACAGUUAUGACAUCACAGACAAGAGACAUAGAACAUUAGACUGUAUCUCGGGUAUUCCCAGCCCUUCAUCCUACCAAUGAGAUGGCUCAGUCUUGAGAGGGGAGGAGAAUUUCCUAAGAUCUCUGCCCAGAGAUUGCCAUGAAUGAGGAGGCCCGGCCAGAUUACCUGGAUUCCAGCCUGCACUCAAAGAUCACUAGUGUGGCUCGGGCACGUGCAUCAGUCAAGCUCUAUCAUCCUGACUGAUGCCUUCUCUCUCAUGUCCUAGCAGAGGGGUGCUUGGAGUCAUGGUGCCAGCUGGAAGCCCCAGAAUGUGAAAUACAAAGAGUCAAAUAACUGUUUUAAUGAGUUUCAGUUCCAAAUUGGGUCUCUGAGAGGGAGAGGAAGCCAGAGAGACAUUCUGAGGACAAG
rnacentral:lncRNA from 10 species